UCAGAGCUGGUCACUGUCAUUACCCUAAUAUGUGGAUAUGGAAAUACCAGCGAUGA
rnacentral:sRNA from 1 species